AGUGAACGCUGGCGGCGUGCUUAACACAUGCAAGUCGAACGAGAAACGGAUUUAGCUUGCUAAAUUGCAGUCUAAGUGGCGCACGGGUGAGUAAUGUAUAGGUAAUAUGCCUCUUACUAAGGGAUAACAAUUGGAAACGAUUGCUAAUACCUUAUAUGCCUUUAAUACGAAAGUAUGCAAGGGAAAGAUUUAUUGGUAAGAGAUUAGCCUGUAUGGUAUCAGCUUGUUGGUGAGGUAAUGGCUCACCAAGGCUAUGACGCCUAACUGGUUUGAGAGGAUGAUCAGUCACACUGGAACUGAGACACGGUCCAGACUCCUACGGGAGGCAGCAGUGGGGAAUAUUGCACAAUGGACGAAAGUCUGAUGCAGCAACGCCGCGUGGAGGAUGACACAUUUCGGUGCGUAAACUCCUUUUAUAUAGGAAGAUAAUGACGGUACUAUAUGAAUAAGCACCGGCUAACUCCGUGCCAGCAGCCGCCGUAA
rnacentral:rRNA from 1 species